rnacentral:rRNA from 1 species
UACGAAGGGGGCUAGCGUUGCUCGGAAUCACUGGGCGUAAAGCGCACGUAGGCGGACUCUUAAGUCGGUGGUGAAAUCCUGGAGCUCAACUCCGGAACUGCCUUCGAUACUGAGAGUCUUGAGUCCGGGAGAGGUGAGUGGAACUGCGAGUGUAGAGGUGAAAUUCGUAGAUAUUCGCAAGAACACCAGUGGCGAAGGCGGCUCACUGGCCCGGUACUGACGCUGAGGUGCGAAAGCGUGGGGAGCAAACAGG